rnacentral:rRNA from 2 species
UGCCAGUGAUAAACUGGAGGAAGGUGGGGAUGACGUCAAGUCAUCAUGGCCCUUACGACCAGGGCUACACACGUGCUACAAUGGCGCAUACAAAGAGAAGCGACCUCGCGAGAGCAAGCGGACCUCAUAAAGUGCGUCGUAGUCCGGACUGGAGUCUGCAACUCGACUCCAUGAAGUCGGAAUCGCUAGUAAUCGUGGAUCAGAAUGCCACGGUGAAUACGUUCCCGGGCCUUGUACACACCGCCCGUCACACCAUGGGAGUGGGUUGCAAAAGAAGUAGGUAGCUUAACCUUCGGGAGGGCGCUUACCACUUUGUGAUUCAUGACUGGGGUGAAGUCGUAACAAGGUAACCGUAGGGGAACCUGCGGUUGGA